GAUGAACGCUGGCGGCGUGCCUAAUACAUGCAAGUCGAGCGAACAGACGAGGAGCUUGCUCCUCUGACGUUAGCGGCGGACGGGUGAGUAACACGUGGAUAACCUACCUAUAAGACUGGGAUAACUUCGGGAAGCCGGAGCUAAUACCGGAUAAUAUAUUGAACCGCAUGGUUCAAUAGUGAAAGACGGUUUUGCUGUCACUUAUAGAUGGAUCCGCGCCGCAUUAGCUAGUUGGUAAGGUAACGGCUUACCAAGGCAACGAUGCGUAGCCGACCUGAGAGGGUGAUCGGCCACACUGGAACUGAGACACGGUCCAGACUCCUACGGGAGGCAGCAGUAGGGAAUCUUCCGCAAUGGGCGAAAGCCUGACGGAGCAACGCCGCGUGAGUGAUGAAGGUCUGCGGAUCGUAAAACUCUGUUAUUAGGGAAGAACAAAUGUGUAAGUAACUAUGCACGUCUGGACGGUACCUAAUCAGAAAGCCACGGCUAACUACGU
rnacentral:rRNA from 1 species